rnacentral:rRNA from 1 species
GAUGAACGCUGGCGGCGUGCCUAAUACAUGCAAGUCGAGCGAACAGACGAGGAGCUUGCUCCUCGGACGUUAGCGGCGGACGGGUGAGUAACACGUGGAUAACCUACCUAUAAGACUGGGAUAACUUCGGGAAACCGGAGCUAAUACCGGAUAAUAUAUUGAACCGCAUGGUUCAAGAGUGAAAGACGGUUUUGCUGUCACUUAUAGAUGGAUCCGCGCCGCAUUAGCUAGUUGGUAAGGUAACGGCUUACCAAGGCAACGAUGCGUAGCCGACCUGAGAGGGUGAUCGGCCACACUGGAACUGAGACACGGUCCAGACUCCUACGGGAGGAAGCAGUAGGGAAUCUUCCGCUAUGGGCGAAAGCUUGACGGAGCAACGCCGCGUGAGUGAUGAAGGUAUUCGGAUCGUAAAACUCUGUUAUUAGGGAAGAACAAAUGUGUAAGUAACUAUGCACGUCUUGACGGUACCUAGUCAGAAAGCCACGGCUAACUACGUG